UGGCGGCGUGCCUAAUACAUGCAAGUCGAACGAACUCUGGUAUUGAUUGGUGCUUGCAUCAUGAUUUACAUUUGAGUGAGUGGCGAACUGGUGAGUAACACGUGGGAAACCUGCCCAGAAGCGGGGGAUAACACCUGGAAACAGAUGCUAAUACCGCAUAACAACUUGGACCGCAUGGUCCGAGUUUGAAAGAUGGCUUCGGCUAUCACUUUUGGAUGGUCCCGCGGCGUAUUAGCUAGAUGGUGGGGUAACGGCUCACCAUGGCAAUGAUACGUAGCCGACCUGAGAGGGUAAUCGGCCACAUUGGGACUGAGACACGGCCCAAACUCCUACGGGAGGCACCAGUAGGGAAUCUUCCACAAUGGACGAAAAUCUGAUGGAGCAACCCCGCGUGAAUGAAGAAGGGUUUCGGCUCGUAAAACUCUGUUGUUAAAGAAGAACAUAUCUGAGAGUAACUGUUCAGGUAUUGACGGUAUUUAACCAGAAAGCCACGGCUAACUACGUGCCAGCAGCCGCGGUAAUACGUAGGUGGCAAGCGUUGUCCGGAUUUAUUGGGCGUAAAGCGAGCGCAGGCGGUUUUUUAAGUCUGAUGUGAAAGCCUUCGGCUCAACCGAAGAAGUGCAUCGGAAACUGGGAAACUUGAGUGCAGAAGAGGACAGUGGAACUCCAUGUGUAGCGGUGAAAUGCGUAGAUAUAUGGAAGAACACCAGUGGCGAAGGCGGCUGUCUGGUCUGUAACUGACGCUGAGGCUCGAAAGUAUGGGUAGCAAACAGGAUUAGAUACCCUGGUAGUCCAUACCGUAAACGAUGAAUGCUAAGUGUUGGAGGGUUUCCGCCCUUCAGUGCUGCAGCUAACGCAUUAAGCAUUCCGCCUGGGGAGUACGGCCGCAAGGCUGAAACUCAAAGGAAUUGACGGGGGCCCGCACAAGCGGUGGAGCAUGUGGUUUAAUUCGAAGCUACGCGAAGAACCUUACCAGGUCUUGACAUACUAUGCAAAUCUAAGAGAUUAGACGUUCCCUUCGGGGACAUGGAUACAGGUGGUGCAUGGUUGUCGUCAGCUCGUGUCGUGAGAUGUUGGGUUAAGUCCCGCAACGAGCGCAACCCUUAUUAUCAGUUGCCAGCAUUAAGUUGGGCACUCUGGUGAGACUGCCGGUGACAAACCGGAGGAAGGUGGGGAUGACGUCAAAUCAUCAUGCCCCUUAUGACCUGGGCUACACACGUGCUACAAUGGAUGGUACAACGAGUUGCGAACUCGCGAGAGUAAGCUAAUCUCUUAAAGCCAUUCUCAGUUCGGAUUGUAGGCUGCAACUCGCCUACAUGAAGUCGGAAUCGCUAGUAAUCGCGGAUCAGCAUGCCGCGGUGAAUACGUUCCCGGGCCUUGUACACACCGCCCGUCACACCAUGAGAGUUUGUAACACCCAAAGUCGGUGGGGUAACCUUUUAGGAACCAGCCGCCUAAGGU
rnacentral:rRNA from 2 species